rnacentral:sRNA from 1 species
CCCGGCAAUAAAUUGCCGGGCUAUUCUCGAUUAUCCCUACGGGAUU